GACGAACGCUGGCGGCGUGCUUAACACAUGCAAGUCGAACGGAAAGGCCCUGCUUUUGUGGGGUGCUCGAGUGGCGAACGGGUGAGUAACACGUGAGUAACCUGCCCUUGACUUUGGGAUAACUUCAGGAAACUGGGUCUAAUACCGGAUAGGAGCUCCUGCUGCAUGGUGGGGGUUGGAAAGUUUCGGCGGUUGGGGAUGGACUCGCGGCUUAUCAGCUUGUUGGUGGGGUAGUGGCUUACCAAGGCUUUGACGGGUAGCCGGACUGAGAGGGUGACCGGCCACAUUGGGACUGAGAUACGGCGCAGACUCCUACGGGAGGCAGCAGUGGGGAAUAUUGCACAAUGGGCGGAAGCCUGAUGAAGCAACGCCGCGUGCGGGAUGACGGCCUUCGGGUUGUAAACCGCUUUCGCCUGUGACGAAGCGUGAGUGACGGUAAUGGGUAAAGAAGCACCGGCUAACUACGUG
rnacentral:rRNA from 1 species